CGGGGCGUGGCGCAGCCCGGUAGCGCACUUGCAUGGGGUGCAAGGGGUCGGAGGUUCGAAUCCUCUCGCCCCGA
rnacentral:tRNA from 1 species